rnacentral:lncRNA from 1 species
CGCCGCGGCGGUCGUUUGCGUCUUUCCGGAAGGUCAACAGGAAAGGAAAAGGGAAGCAUCGGUGGCAGCGAAAUCUCAUCCCGAGCUUCAACGUCUGCCUGCCAGGUAACUCCUCUCGAAUCCCUCAGCUACUCCACCUUCGCUUUCUUUCAUCCUUUGUGUAUAACCCUAUCAAUCAAGAGCAUCGGAGAACUAUGCAACGUUGCCUCGGAUGAUGCAUAUACGGAACUGUGAAUUUGCUUCUUCUUGCAGCCUUACCGUUAGAAUUAUAAGUUUGUAGGAUUUAAAGUUUCCUUCUCCUGCUAAUCUUAGGGAUUUGUUGUAGCUCGGUGGGGUUUUCAGACGUUGAAAGAGGUAUGAAGGGGCGCUCUCACC